UCUCUAUUUCUGUUAUGUAUUACAAAUAUUCAAAAGCUAAUUUUCUAUACUAUUACCUAUAACAAAAUAUUUUAAAUCUUUAAGCUAUGCAUUAAUGGUUUAGCUUUGACAAUGCAGACAGAGUUGACACACUGAAAGAAUGGAUCAGCAAGCUAGGGAAAAAAGUUGAUAGUUUCACACAUGGAGUUUUUAGGUUGGGGCCCAAGGUAUCUGUAACUAUGAAGGGGAAAUUGAGGUUGGGUGCCAGAAUUCUUCAAGAAGGUGGUGUUGAGAAGUUAUUCAAGCAGAUCUUGAGGUGACUAUGUUGUAUAUAAAUUGUCUGAGUAUGAUUCAUUCAGUCUGCAAAGAGGGGGUAUACCCUUGGGUUAAAUUGACUAUGCUGAAGAUAUUGUAGAAUUUUUAAAUCAACAGCUGAACAACAAUAAAAAGGUACUUGAAGCAUAUGCUGUGA